rnacentral:lncRNA from 1 species
CGUGCGUGUAUAAAUAUUAAGGCUUUGAGUAAUUUAGUUAACAUAACAAAACAUAUUUCUUGUUUGAUUAUCAUAAAAAAUUCUCCCGUAUGCAUCUUCUUCUAUAUUCUUCUUUUUGGUGUCAUUUGCUUUUAUGCAUAUAUUGUAUUGUCUCUGUUAAGUCAGGCUAAAUUUAUUCAUGAAUCAUUUUCAUGCUUAGUACGUAUACAUAUAUACAACUUGCAUGCAUUACUCUUCCAUUUUUUUUUUCAUUUCUUCACAAGAUAUAUAGAAUGUAACUGGAAAAGAGGUUUGAUAACUUUAUAUUUUGUUUUCCUUUUACAUUGCUAUGCAUAUAUUGUCUUGUCUCAAUGUUAACUCAGGCUUUGUGCAAUAAGAUGAACUUAUUCAUGAAUCAUUUUCGUGCUAUACAACAUGCAUGCAUUGCUCUUCCAUUUUUUUUUCAUUUCUUCACAAGAUAUAUAGAAUGUAAUUGGAAAAGAGGUUAUCAACCUUCUAAUCUUUUUUUUUUUUUGCAGGAAAUGGACUUUGAAGAGGAAAUGGGGUAUUGGGGAAAAUCAGGAGACAAGGGGUACAACAUUAGCCCCAUAGCACAAGUUGCCAUUGCAUCGCUGUGAUGAUAUGCUUCUUAAUUAUGAUGUUUAUAUUAGUCAAGGUUUGGAGGAAGGUCACAGUUAAAAGGCCUGAAAUAUAAUUACUUUAUUAUGAAAAAUGUUGGUAAUGAAAAUGAAAUGAAUUUUAUAUAUAGUACUAUUUUACUAUGAAAAAUGUUGUAAUGGAAUAAAAUGAAUAAAGUAUUAUUGUCUUUGAUUGUUUAUUUUUAUUAUUUUAGUUGGCUGCUUCAAGUAUGUUAUAAGAUCAUAUCUUUGGUAGAAUUUGUUGUUUGGUAUUACAACUGUAUGAACUCAGCUGUGUAGUAAUGAAAAAUUUUG